rnacentral:rRNA from 1 species
UGGGGAAUAUUGCACAAUGGGCGAAAGCCUGAUGCAGCAACGCCGCGUGAGUGAUGAAGGUCUUCGGAUUGUAAAGCUCUGUCUUUUGGGACGAUAAUGACGGUACCAAAGGAGGAAGCCACGGCUAACUACGUGCCAGCAGCCGCGGUAAUACGUAGGUGGCGAGCGUUGUCCGGAUUUACUGGGCGUAAAGGGUGCGUAGGCGGAUGUUUAAGUGAGAUGUGAAAUACCCGGGCUUAACUUGGGUGCUGCAUUUCAAACUGGAUAUCUAGAGUGCAGGAGAGGAGAAUGGAAUUCCUAGUGUAGCGGUGAAAUGCGUAGAGAUUAGGAAGAACACCAGUGGCGAUGGCGAUUCUCUGGACUGUAACUGACGCUGAGGCACGAAAGCGUGGGUAGCAAACAGGAUUAGAUACCCUGGUAGUCCACGCCGUAAACGAUGAGUACUAGGUGUAGGAGGUAUCGACCCCUUCUGUGCCGCAGUAAACACAUUAAAGUACUCCGCCUGGGG